rnacentral:rRNA from 1 species
CCUACGGGUGGCAGCAGUGGGGAAUAUUGGGCAAUGGAGGCAACUCUGACCCAGCAACGCCGCGUGCAUGAUGAAGGUCUUCGGAUCGUAAAACCCUGUUGUUAGAGAAGAACGUGCGUGAGAGUACCUGAUGAAAAAGCAUCGGCUAACUCCGUGCCAGCGGCCGCGGUAAUACGGAGGAUGCGAGCGUUAUCCGGAUUUAUUGGGUUUAAAGGGUGCGUAGGCGGAAUGCCAAGUCAGCGGUAAAAUCGCGGGGCUCAACCUCGCUCCGCCGUUGAUACUGGCGUUCUUGAGUGGGCGAGAGGUAUGCGGAAUGCGUGGUGUAGCGGUGAAAUGCAUAGAUAUCACGCAGAACUCCAAUUGCGAAGGCAGCAUACCGGCGCCCAACUGACGCUCAUGCACGAAAGCGUGGGUAUCGAACAGGAUUAGAUACCCGGGUAGUC